UCCCUCCCGAGCAGCACGCAGGGCCAUGGGGGAGCCGAUGGGAGGAGUUUGGUGCCCCUUCUCCUUCCCAAGGUGAUUAUUUGUGCGGAGGAUAUGAGCGCCCUCCUCUCCCUCCUGAUGUAACGUGGUCGUCGGAGGAUCCGACGCAGCCGAUGCUCCCUUCCAGUUGCAUCUACGGACAGGUGCAUAUGCUCCCUUCCGGAUGCAUCUACGGACAGGUGCAUCGCCGGUCACGUCGGGAACCUGUAUCUCUCUAUGCAGGACGCUGUGACGUCUAGGGCAUUUUGCAUCUGCACAAGAUGGCAUUGCUACAAAAUAUGUAGAUGGAUAAGAUGUGCAGUGACUUGCCAAUUUACAAUUUAAUCUACUGGUUAGAUCUUUCUUCAAUUGACACUACACAACUAUCAGGUUUUCAGAUGUAUAUAUCCAGAGGGAUUUAUACAUCAGAUGGCAUUGGUGGUGAGAGAGAUUGGCUUCAUUUUUGUUGUAAUUGUUAGAUUUGGGGAUUUUUAUUGGUAUUGCAAAUUUUAUAUGGUUUCCCAAGGUGUCUUAUAGUAAAUGAUUGGGAGCAUGAUCAUA